GCUAGAUCUGCUGUCCUGGGAUUGUGAUUUCUUCACAGAUUUGGGGAUAAAACGGAGCUCUUUGGGGAUACAGAGUGAAGCUGGGGACCAAACAGGGCCAAAGACAGAGCAUCAUGGAUGGCAGCUUGGGAAAAGCAGAUGUGCUGAGAUGGUUCUGGAUUGUUAUGUUCUGGGCUCUCUUCCAUGCCCCCAGCAUCAUAUCUGAGAUGUCACCACCUCACCUGGGUGACGAGUUCCUGGUGGCCUUUCUGCAGAAUGGUAACCAGCGCACUCUUCGCAGUGACUUCCGCCUCCUCCUCCUCACUGGCCCCUCCCCAUCCACCACUGCCACCAUCUCCAUGAAGAAACCUGGAUUACGGAUGACAGUGCAGGC